UUCUCUUUGGUGGAGAUGGGUGGUUUUCAUGUUAUGGUUUACUCCACGGAUGUGAGGAUGAGCUCGAUGGUGAACGAACAACGAUUUGGAUCUCUUUUGAGCAAACGUCUGCCAAUAACUAUGAAUAUGUUUUUAUGCUGGGCUACACUAAGGCUAGUGUGUGUUUUGAUGUUGUUGUGCAGGGCUGGCUAAUCCUUAGCAAUGGUAAUGCUAAAGGUAACAGACGACAGUGUUCCUUUUUGUUGAUGAUUAGGGUUUGGUUUACUGAUGUGCUUUACACGAUCAUCAAAGCCAAACUAACUAAUAGG
rnacentral:lncRNA from 1 species